rnacentral:rRNA from 1 species
AUUGAACGCUGGCGGCAGGCCUAACACAUGCAAGUCGAGCGAGUGGCGGACGGGUGAGUAAUGUCUGGGGAUCUGCCCGAUGGAGGGGGAUAACUACUGGAAACGGUAGCUAAUACCGCAUACCAUCGGAUGUACCCAUAUGGGAUUAGCUAGUAGGUGGGGUAAAGGCUCACCUAGGCGACGAUCCCUAGCUGGUCUGAGAGGAUGAUCAGCCACACUGGGACUGAGACACGGUCCAGACUCCUACGGGAGGCAGCAGUGGGGAAUAUUGCACAAUGGGCGCAAGCCUGAUGCAGCCAUGCCGCGUGUAUGAAGAAGGCCUUAGGGUUGUAAAGUACUUUCAGCGGGGAGGCGUUACCCGCAGAAGAAGCACCGGCUAACUCCGUGCCAGCAGCCGCGGUAAUUC